rnacentral:rRNA from 1 species
UACAAGCCGUCAGAGCCUUUUGGGUGAUGGCGUGCCUUUUGAAGAAUGAGCCUGCGAGUCAGCGGCGCGUCGCGAGGUUAACCCGCCUGUGGGGUAGUCGUAGGGAAACCGAGUCUUUGUUGGGCGUGUAAGUGGCGUGUCCUGGACCCGAAGCGGGGUGAUCUACCCAUGGCCAGUGUGAAGCAGCUGUAAGAGGUUGUGGAGGCGCGAACCCACGUAGGUUAAAAACUGCGGGGAUGAGUUGUGGGUAGGGGUGA